rnacentral:rRNA from 1 species
GACGAACGCUGGCGGCAUGCUUAACACAUGCAAGUCGAACGGAAAGGCCUGCUUUCCCUUGUGGAUUGCGGGUACUCGAGUGGCGAACGGGUGAGUAACACGUGAGUGAUCUGCCCCCAACUUGGGUAUAAGCCUGGGAAACUGGGUCUAAUUCCCGAUAGGACUGCAGGGUGGUGCCUGUGGUGGAAAACGAUUUUCUAGUGGUUGGGGAUGAGCUCGCGGCCUAUCAGCUUGUUGGUGGGGUAAUGGCCUACCAAGGCGGCGACGGGUAGCCGGCCUGAGAGGGUGGACGGCCACAUUGGGACUGAGAUACGGCCCAGACUCCUACGGGAGGCAGCAGUGGGGAAUAUUACACAAUGGGCGGAAGCCUGAUGCAGCGACGCCGCGUGGGGGAUGACGGCCUUCGGGUUGUAAACUCCUUUCGACCGCGAGGAAGCCACCUGGUUGGAAGGGUGGUGACGGUAGUGGUAGAAGAAGCACCGGCUAACUACGUG